AUAAAACUUACAGGAGUGAGUUUCUCACUUCUGGGUCUAACUUUCGGUUUUAUUUUCGAGACAAUUCUUCAAAAUUCUAAAUUAUUAACUACAGAAUUUAUAAACAUUCCAGUUAGAAAUCAAAACUUAUACACAAAAAUAAAACAGACGAAAUGGAGUCGUCUCAAUAAUAAGAAUACAUUAAUAAGUCAGUGAAUAUUAGAUGUGACAGUACCGAAAAAAUCGUGACCAUAUCAAGAAGGUGUUAGGAACUUUUGAAUAAGUUAGAUCUGAUCAAAAUAAUUUAUUAAAAAAAACUAAUGAAAUUCCAAUUGACCAGUAGAAGACUUCCGAAUAAUUUAUUAAAUAACCUUUAUUAAAAAUAUGUAAUUGUGCCUAAUGAGGGAGGCCCAAGUCACCUUCCAAUAGGAAAAGUGCCCAAAAGCAAGACUAAAGAAAAGCAAGAGAAUAUAGGAAACAAGGAGAAAAUAGAAAAUAAUCAUUGAAACUUUUUCUAAUAUAAAUUUUAUUGAAAACCCCAUUAUUCAAAAAUUGUAGACCUCGUCCCCAGUUACCCAGUAACUUCAAGAUCUUCUGGUCAGCUAUGUGAAUCACGAUAAGAAGUCUUCCACAGUGAGCGAAAGAAUUUUGCUUAGAAUGUUGUUGUUCCCAUAAUACCAUACUCUAUCCUAAGUGACAUUCUGGCUUACCGCGUGAAUGUGAAAUGCUUGAUUAGCUCGAUUACUGCGGGCGAAAGAAUUUUGUUUGGAACUGUCUGGGAAGAUCUGUAUGCCAAACUCCACGCACACUGCAUAUUGUUACUUGUGUAUAUAAUAUUUUUUUGUAGAGUAAAUUUUAGUGAUAUAUAUAUUUGAGAUAUUCUUUGUGAUAUGAUUCAAGAGUUGGGUAUGAAGCCUUAAGUCAUUUAUGAAGUAUCCAAUAUAAGCUCCUGAAUGUUCUUCGGAGUUAUCGGGAAAACAGUUUCGAAGAAUUGUAGUUAACAGAUGGGAGUUACAUGUUCACUGUGCAGUCGUUUAACGAAAAUUUCUGAUUUGUUCCAAGACAACUUUCUGGCGCGUAGUAAAAAAAAUCGUGGAUUCUACUAUUUCCGACGAAAGAAGUUUGCUUGAGAUGUAUUAAAGACAACUAAUAAAAACACGCUCAUAAGUAAAACCAAA